UCUUUUUUAUUGAAACUCUGCUGAAAAUGAAGAAACCAGGAUCGUGUCUUAGUAUUCGUAAUGUGGCUAGCAGAGUAAGCACAAGAUGGAAAACAAGGGCGGAUGUGGUGGUGCAUGCCUGUAAU
ensembl:snoRNA